ACUACAACUACCUACAGCGGAUUCCUCUUCGGUGAGAAACAAUAAGACGCUUAAUAGAUUAUUCAACAUACAUCCAUCACAAAAAGUUGUGUACUUUAUAGCUCAUCAAGUUCCCCCAUUUUUCUUCGGGUGCCAAUAGAUAGUUGAGAACACUUGAGUUUUCGAGAUUAGAGAGAUCAGCAAACAUAUCUCAGAUGUCAUUGAUAUACGCAAUAUUUACGACGUUGGAUGAAUUCGAAAGUUGGAGUUGCAGGGAGAAACCUCCAAUUGGGCGAUGCAAAAUGGAUUGAGUGAGGAGUCGGAGGAUAAAGCUAAAGACGCCCUUAUAGUAUCCAUCACCUUCACAUCGCUUGCGGUGUUUUUUGUAUCCGCUCGUCUUUACACACGGGGAUUUUUGGUGAAAA
rnacentral:sRNA from 1 species